AUUGAACGCUGGCGGCAUGCCUUACACAUGCAAGUCGAACGGCAGCACGGGUGCUUGCACCUGGUGGCGAGUGGCGAACGGGUGAGUAAUACAUCGGAACAUGUCCUGUAGUGGGGGAUAGCCCGGCGAAAGCCGGAUUAAUACCGCAUACGAUCCAUGGAUGAAAGCGGGGGACCUUCGGGCCUCGCGCUAUAGGGUUGGCCGAUGGCUGAUUAGCUAGUUGGUGGGGUAAAGGCCUACCAAGGCGACGAUCAGUAGCUGGUCUGAGAGGACGACCAGCCACACUGGGACUGAGACACGGCCCAGACUCCUACGGGAGGCAGCAGUGGGGAAUUUUGGACAAUGGGCGAAAGCCUGAUCCAGCAAUGCCGCGUGUGUGAAGAAGGCCUUCGGGUUGUAAAGCACUUUUGUCCGGAAAGARAUCCUUGGCUCUAAUACAGUCGGGGGAUGACRGUACCGGAAGAAUAAGCACCGGCUAA
rnacentral:rRNA from 1 species